AUGUUGAGGUGUGAUGGGGAGCCCUUAUGGGCGAAGUAUCUGAUUCCACGCUGCCAAGAAAAGUCUCUAUGGAGGAUGUUGGCGCCCGUACCGCAAACCGACACAGGUAGGUGAGGAGAGAAUCCUAAGACCAGCGGAAGAAUUGUUGUCAAGGAACUCGGCAAAUUGACCCCGUAACUUCGGGAGAAGGGGUGCCUACGCAAGUAGGUCGCAGAGAAUAGGCCCAAGCAACUGUUUAGCAAAAACACAGGUCUCUGCUAAAGCGAAAGCUGAAGUAUAGGGGCUGACGCCUGCCCGGUGCUGGAAGGUUAAGGGGAAUACUUAGCGCAAGCGAAGGUAUGAACUUAAGCCCAGUAAACGGCGGCCGUAACUAUAACGGUCCUAAGGUAGCGAAAUUCCUUGUCGGGUAAGUUCCGACCCGCACGAAUGGCGUAAUGAUUUGGGCACUGUCUCGACAACAAAUCCGGCGAAAUUGUAUUGCGAGUGAAGAUGCUCGCUACCCGCGAUUGGACGGAAAGACCCCGUAGAGCUUUACUGUAGCUUAGCAUUGAAUUUCGGUAUUGUCUGUACAGGAUAGGUGGGAGACUUGGAAGCAAGGGCGUCAGCCUUUGUGGAGUCAACCUUGGGAUACCACCCUGACAGUACUGGGAUUCUAACCGGCGGCCAUGAAACUGGUCACGGGACAUUGUUAGGUGGGCAGUUUGACUGGGGCGGUCGCCUCCAAAAAAGUAACGGAGGCGCCCAAAGGUUCCCUCAGAACGGUUGGAAAUCGUUCGAAGAGUGCAAAGGCAGAAGGGAGCCUGACUGCGACACAAACAAGUGGAGCAGGGACGAAAGUCGGGCUUAGUGAUCCGGUGGUUCCUCGUGGGAGGCCAUCGCUCAACGGAUAAAAGCUACCUCGGGAUAACAGGCUGAUCUCCCCCAAGAGUCCACAUCGACGGGGAGGUUUGGCACCUCGAUGUCGGCUCGUCGCAUCCUGGGGCUGAAGUAGGUCCCAAGGGUUGGGCUGUUCGCCCAUUAAAGCGGCACGCGAGCUGGGUUCAGAACGUCGUGAGACAGUUCGGUCCCUAUCCGUCGCGGGCGUAGGAAAUUUGAGAGGAGCUGUCCUUAGUACGAGAGGACCGGGAUGGACUGACCUCUGGUGCACCAGUUGUUCCGCCAGGAGCACAGCUGGGUAGCUAUGUCAGGACGGGAUAAACGCUGAAAGCAUCUAAGCGUGAAGCCCACCUCAAGAUAAGAUUUCCCAUAGCAUAAGCUAGUAAGACCCCUUGAAGAACACAAGGUUGAUAGGUUAGAGGUGUAAGCAUGGUAACAUGUUCAGCUGACUAAUACUAAUAGGUCGAGGGCUUGACCAA
rnacentral:ncRNA from 1 species